GGCACGGUAGCUUAGUUGAUAAAGCGCUCGUCUAGCAUACAAGAGUCCUGGGUUCGAAACUCAGCCGAGCAC
rnacentral:tRNA from 1 species